GUUGCAGUUAAAAAGCUCGUAGUUGGAUUUCGGAACCGGCCGAUUGGUCCGCCCUCUGGAUCGUGUACUGAUCGGUCUGUUCUUCUUCGCGAAGACCGCGUGUGCUCUUAACUGAGUGGGCGUGGGAUUCGCGACGUUUACUUUGAAAAAAUUAGAGUGUUCAAAGCAGGCAGUCGCUUGAAUAUCUCAGCAUGGAAUAAUAGAAUAGGACUUUGGUCUUAUUUUGUUGGUUUCCGAGACCGAAGUAAUGAUUAAUAGGGACAGUUGGGGGCAUUCGUAUUUCAUUGUCAGAGGUGAAAUUCUUGGAUUUAUGAAAGACGAACUUCUGCGAAAGCAUUUGCCAAGGAUGUUUUCAUUAAUCAAGAACGAAAGUUGGAGGCUCGAAGACGAUCAGAUACCGUCCUAGUUCCAACCAUAAACGAUGCCGUCUGCGGAUCGGAGGUCGCUCAUGUAAGGCUCCUUCGGCACGCUAUGAGAAAUCAAAGACUUCGGGUUCCGGGGGGAGUAUGUUCGCAAGAAUGAAACUUAAAGGAAUUGACGGAAAGGGCACCACCAGGAGUUGGAACCCUGCGGU
rnacentral:rRNA from 1 species